rnacentral:rRNA from 1 species
AACGAACGCUGGCGGCAUGCCUAACACAUGCAAGUCGAACGAGACCUUCGGGUCUAGUGGCGCACGGGUGCGUAACGCGUGGGAACCUGCCUUUAGGUUCGGAAUAACUCAGAGAAAUUUGAGCUAAUACCGGAUGAUGUCUUCGGACCAAAGAUUUAUCGCCUUUAGAUGGGCCCGCGUUGGAUUAGCUAGUUGGUGGGGUAGAGGCCUACCAAGGCGACGAUCCAUAGCUGGUCUGAGAGGAUGAUCAGCCACACUGGGACUGAGACACGGCCCAGACUCCUACGGGAGGCAGCAGUGGGGAAUAUUGGACAAUGGGCGAAAGCCUGAUCCAGCAAUGCCGCGUGAGUGAUGAAGGCCUUAGGGUUGUAAAGCUCUUUUACCCGAGAUGAUAAUGACAGUAUCGGGAGAAUAAGCUCCGGCUAACUCCGUG